AUACUUACAUGGAUGGGGUCAAUAUGUGAUCAACAAAGCCCUUGGCCUAGGGUGGUGACCUCCAUUGCACCUCGGAGGGGUGCUCUCCUAAUUUCCUUUUUUUUCGUUGCAGAAGAAUUCAAGAAGUGAAACAGUUUUCUUUUA
rnacentral:snRNA from 10 species